rnacentral:rRNA from 1 species
UACGAGGGCCCCAAGCGUUAUCCGGAUUUAUUGGGCGUAAAGCGUCCGUAGGUGGCUUAUCGCAUCUCCUGUUAAAUCUCGAGGCUCAACCUCGAGUCAGCGGGAGAGAUGGAUAAACUAGAGACUGGAAGAGGUACACGGAAUUGCUGGUGUAGGGGUUAAAUCCAUUAAUAUCAGCAAGAACACCAAAUGCGAAGGCAGUGUACUAGGACAGUUCUGACACUCAGUGGACGAAAGCGUGGGGAGCGAAUGGGAUUAGAUACCCCAGUAGUCCACGCCGUAAACGAUGGAUACUAAGCAUUGGCAGUAUCGACCCUGCCAGUGCUGUUAAUUUAAGGUAACCCGUUAAGUAUCCCGCCUGGGGAGUACGAGCGCAAGCUUAAA